rnacentral:lncRNA from 1 species
GGACUUUACCCAAGGAGAGAUUGUAAUGUAUCACUGGACCCAGCACCUAGGUUACAUGACUUUCCUCUUUUGACUGAGUCUUGCAUAAAUUGUGUAUUGUGACAAAUAACUGAGUCUAAAAGCUAGGUGAUGAGACUCUUCUGAAUGGACCCUGUCUACAGGGGUAUUAUGACAUAUCUUUUUUUAUACUGCCUAGGUGAUGUGACUUUGUGUGUGUGUGUGUCCCGGCCCUGCCAAAAGUGGGGAUCGUAACAUAUCACUAAACUUAGCACCAAGGUGUUAUGACUCUCCUUGUUUGCCUGGGCCCUGCAUAUAUUUGGUAAUAUGACGUAUGGCUGAGACAAACACCUAGGGCAUGAGAACCUCCCGCCUGGGUCCUGGCCACAAGGAGUCUUUUGGCUUAUCUCUGCAUCCAUCAACCAGGAGAUGUGACUCUUCUUUUCUGUCUGGGUUCUACAAAAACAAGUGAUUGUGACAUAUUAUCAAACCCAGCAACUAGAUGAUGUGAUUUUUCUUCCCUGCUUGAACUCUGGAUAUGCUGUGUAUUGUGAUAUAUGGCUGGGUCCAACAUUAAGGGAUUGUGAUAUAUCGCUGAACCUAGCACCUAGGUGAUGUGACUUUGUUUUAUUGCCUGUGUCCUGCAUUUUUUAAGUAUUGUGACAUGUCCCUGGCCACAACAUCUAAAGAAUUGGGAGGAGAGAUUGUGACAUAUCUCUGGAACCAGAACCUUAGUGAUGUGACGCUUCUCUCCUGCUGAAGCCAUGCCCACACAAGGGAAAGUGACUUAUCACUGGGCCCAGCACACAGGUCUUUUCCCACAGGGAGCAUUGUGAAACAUCACUGGGCUCAGCCACCAGGUUAUGUGACUCUUCUGCCUGUGCCCUGCUUCCAGAAAAUAUUGUGACAUUCCUCAUACAGCAUCCAGGUGAUGUGACUCUUCUGCUCAUUUUCUACUUACAGGAGACAUGCCCAAAAAAGGGAUUGUGGCAUAUCUCUGAGCCCAGCACCCAAAUGUUGUGACUCUCCUGCCUGAGCUGUGCCUAGAGAAAAUAUUAUAAUAUGUCACCGGACCCUGCAUGCAAGUGAUCCAAUUCUCCAGUCUGGGCCUUGCCCAUAGAGGAGAUUGAGACAUAUUCCAGGUGAAGAAUUCAGGUGGAUGGUGACUCUAAGACCAGGAUUCAACACACCUAGAAGGCUUUGACUCUGAUACCAGUCACAGAAGGCUCUGUGACUCUUCUAUUUUCUCUAGGUCAUGCAAAUGGAGGCGGAUUUUGACAUAUCAUAAAGCCAACAUAAUACACAGUCUGCAGGUGGAAUUGGGACUCUCAUGCAUGGAUCCAGUUCAUCAUUGAUACUGUGACUCAUGUACUUGGAUGCAACUCACAGGAGGUGUUGACGCUUUUUACCUGAAGCUGGGACAUGUGUGGAAUUGUGAAUCCUAGCCCUAGAUCUUCCCACAGGUCAUGCAAAUGGAGGGGGAUUGUUACAUAUCAUAGGGCCAACACAAAAAUAAUGUAAAACUCCUGCCUGAGCCAUGCCCAUAGAAGGCAUUGUGACAUAUCACCCGUCACAGCACUCAGGUGGGAUUUUGACAUAUAACUGCACCCAGCACACAGGUGAAGUAUCUCGUAUGCUCAUCCUGCCAAAAGUUAUGAGUGUCACCCUCACACAUGGACAGAGACCUCUGGUUAGGUCUUGAAUCUUGUACAUGGACACAGUCCGCAGUUGGAAUGUCAUAUGUAGAUCCAGCCACAGGUGUGAUGUUGACCUAUUUAUAAAGUUAGCUCACAGGCACAUUGAUAACUCUCAUACCUGGAUCCAGCCAAUAAAAGAUAUGUUGACUAUUAUA